rnacentral:rRNA from 1 species
GACGAACGCUGGCGGCGUGCUUAACACAUGCAAGUCGAACGGAAAGGCCCUGCUUUUGUGGGGUGCUCGAGUGGCGAACGGGUGAGUAACACGUGAGUAACCUGCCCUUGACUUUGGGAUAACUUCAGGAAACUGGGGCUAAUACCGGAUAGGAGCUCCUGCUGCAUGGUGGGGGUUGGAAAGUUUCGGCGGUUGGGGAUGGACUCGCGGCUUAUCAGCUUGUUGGUGGGGUAGUGGCUUACCAAGGCUUUGACGGGUAGCCGGCAUGAGCGGGUGACCGGCCACAUUGGGACUGAGAUACGGCCCAGACUGCUACGGGAGGCAGCAGGGGGGAAUAUUGCACAAUGGGCGGAAGCCUGAUGCAGAAACGCCGCGUGCGGGAUGACGGCCUUCGGGUUGUAAACCGCUUUCGCCUGUGACGAAGCGUGAGUGACGGUAAUGGGUAAAGAAGCACCGGCUAACUACGUG